GGAGGGGCGGCUGCUAUACAUGCAGUCGAACGCUUCUUUUUCCACCGGAGCUUGCUCCACCGGAAAAAGAGGAGUGGCGAACGGGUGAGUAACACGUGGGUAACCUGCCCAUCAGAAGGGGAUAACACUUGGAAACAGGUGCUAAUACCGUAUAACAAUCAAAACCGCAUGGUUUUGAUUUGAAAGGCGCUUUCGGGUGUCGCUGAUGGAUGGACCCGCGGUGCAUUAGCUAGUUGGUGAGGUAACGGCUCACCAAGGCCACGAUGCAUAGCCAACCUGAGAGGGUGAUCGGCCACAUUGGGACUGAGACACGGCCCAAACUCCUACGGGAGGCAGCAGUAGGGAAUCUUCGGCAAUGGACGAAAGUCUGACCGAGCAACGCCGCGUGAGUGAAGAAGGUUUUCGGAUCGUAAAACUCUGUUGUUAGAGAAGAACAAGGAUGAGAGUAACUGUUCAUCCCUUGACGGUAUCUAACCAGAAAGCCACGGCUAACUACGUGCCAGCAGCCGCGGUAAUACGUAGGUGGCAAGCGUUGUCCGGAUUUAUUGGGCGUAAAGCGAGCGCAGGCGGUUUCUUAAGUCUGAUGUGAAAGCCCCCGGCUCAACCGGGGAGGGUCAUUGGAAACUGGGAGACUUGAGUGCAGAAGAGGAGAGUGGAAUUCCAUGUGUAGCGGUGAAAUGCGUAGAUAUAUGGAGGAACACCAGUGGCGAAGGCGGCUCUCUGGUCUGUAACUGACGCUGAGGCUCGAAAGCGUGGGGAGCAAACAGGAUUAGAUACCCUGGUAGUCCACGCCGUAAACGAUGAGUGCUAAGUGUUGGAAGGGUUUCCGCCCUUCAGUGCUGCAGCUAACGCAUUAAGCACUCCGCCUGGGGAGUACGACCGCAAGGUUGAAACUCAAAGGAAUUGACGGGGGCCCGCACAAGCGGUGGAGCAUGUGGUUUAAUUCGAAGCAACGCGAAGAACCUUACCAGGUCUUGACAUCCUUUGACCACUCUAGAGAUAGAGCUUCCCCUUCGGGGGCAAAGUGACAGGUGGUGCAAGGUUGUCCUCACCUCCUGUCCUGAAAAGUUUGGGUUAAAUCCCCCACCGAGCGCACCCCUUAUUGUUAAUUGCCAUCCUUUCAUUUGGGCACUCUUUCAAGAACUGCCGGUGACAAAACCGAAGAAAGGGGGGG
rnacentral:rRNA from 1 species